rnacentral:rRNA from 1 species
GUGUCAGCAGCCGCGGUAAUACGGAGGGUGCGAGCGUUAAUCGGAAUUACUGGGCGUAAAGCGCACGCAGGCGGUUUGUUAAGCUAGAUGUGAAAGCCCCGGGCUCAACCUGGGAAUUGCAUUUAAAACUGUCCAGCUAGAGUCUUGUAGAGGGGGGUAGAAUUCCAGGUGUAGCGGUGAAAUGCGUAGAGAUCUGGAGGAAUACCGGUGGCGAAGGCGGCCCCCUGGACAAAGACUGACGCUCAGGUGCGAAAGCGUGGGGAGCAAACAGGAUUAGAAACCCCCGUAGUCC